rnacentral:rRNA from 1 species
AGCGAACGCUGGCGGCAGGCCUAACACAUGCAAGUCGAACGGACCCUUCGGGGUUAGUGGCGGACGGGUGAGUAACACGUGGGAACGUGCCUUUAGGUUCGGAAUAGCUCCUGGAAACGGGCGGUAAUGCCGAAUGUGCCCUUCGGGGGAAAGAUUUAUCGCCUUUAGAGCGGCCCGCGUCUGAUUAGCUAGUUGGUGAGGUAACGGCUCACCAAGGGGACGAUCAGUAGCUGGUCUGAGAGGAUGACCAGCCGCACUGGACUGAGACACGGCCCAGACUCCUACGGGAGGCAGCAGUGGGGAAUCUUGCGCAAUGGGCGAAAGCCUGACGCAGCCAUGCCGCGUGAAUGAUGAAGGUCUUAGGAUUGUAAAAUUCUUUCACCGGGGACGAUAAUGACGGUACCCGGAGAAGAAGCCCCGGCUAACUUCGUGCCAGCCGCCGCAGUAA